UGGGGGAAUUUUGGACAAUGGGCGAAAGCCUGAUCCAGCAAUGCCGCGUGUGUGAAGAAGGCCUUCGGGUUGUAAAGCACUUUUGUCCGGAAAGAAAUCCUUGGCUCUAAUACAGUCGGGGGAUGACGGUACCGGAAGAAUAAGCACCGGCUAACUACGUGCCAGCAGCCGCGGUAAUACGUAGGGUGCAAGCGUUAAUCGGAAUUACUGGGCGUAAAGCGUGCGCAGGCGGUUUGCUAAGACCGAUGUGAAAUCCCCGGGCUCAACCUGGGAACUGCAUUGGUGACUGGCAGGCUAGAGUAUGGCAGAGGGGGGUAGAAUUCCACGUGUAGCAGUGAAAUGCGUAGAGAUGUGGAGGAAUACGAUGGCGAAGGCAGCCCCCUGGGCCAAUACUGACGCUCAUGCACGAAAAGCGUGGGGAGCAAACAGGAUUAGAUACCCUGGUAGUCCACGCCCUAAAACGAUGUCAACUAGUUGUUGGGGAUUCAUUUCCUUAGUAACGUAGCUAACGCGUGAAGUUGACCGCCUGGGGAGUACGGUCGCAAGAUUAAAACUCAAAUGAAUUGACGGGGUCAUAGCUGUUUCCU
rnacentral:rRNA from 1 species